UGGCACCCCAAACCUUCGAAGUCCAAAUUUUGAAAUUUCAAUCAGCUCACACAAUUCGUCUCGUCGCACGUCACCGUCAUCUGCCUCAGCUCGUCUCACAGUCGCAUCUCUAAUCUCCAUCGCAGGGAAACAUUGUUUAACAGGAGCAUAAAAAGGGAAGAAAUGAUUUAGAUCCAAUCAAUCUUGAAUAAAUUGACUUGAUAGAAAAAUGGAUGGAUGAAGAAUUUGAGCUUCUUGAUGAAGAAGAUUUAGAUUGGGUAAGUAUUAAAGAGUCAUUAGUCUCACUAAAUAAGGAAAACAAUGAUAAUAUUGAUGUUGAUAUUGAUGACGGUGGUGACAUUGAUAAUAAUAUUUUAUUUAACAUGUCGAAUCCUGAUCCUUAUUAUCUUUUUUAUGAGAAUGCGUGAUUUUAUUUUAAUGGUUGGAUUACAAACUUUUUUAAUUUUACAAGUAUGUUUGUUGGAAUUUUUUUUUUUUUUUGUUUUUAUAUGAUGUUUGUUGUAACUUAAAGCUUAAGAACUUAUGUUAGUUGUAACUUAAAACUUAAAACUUGUACCAAGAAGUAUUGAGUUUAUAAUUUA